UAUUAAGAUAUUACGUGCUAAAGGUGUCCCAUCUUUCCCCACCCUACUAUAUACUGUACGUAUUUAUACUUCAACGGCUACGUGGUACUUGGUUUUGUAUGCUAUAUUAACAUUUACAUUAUAUCAUAUUACAUGAGUUUUACUAAUUACAGAAUUAUGUUCGAAGCAGGAUCAUCUUGAAAUGCUCCAUAGAACCAACGCACGUGAUCCAUGUUAAAUGGGUGAGUAGCUUUUGUGUGCUUGCAAAUAAAAUAAAUGAUUUUUCCAAUUAUAGGGAAUUCUAAUUAAAUUAUGUUUAUAGUCUAAAAACUGCCUGACGUUCAAUUCACCUUGAGAACCGUAUAUCUGGCAAUAUAAGUUAUAGCACCGUGCGUGUCACAAUAUAGCAUUUUGUAUUUAAACUGAACGUUUUAACAUUACAGAUGCAGACUCUAUAUACGGCUAUAUGCGCCAUAUACGAGUAUAUUGGUACGAAGCUGUCUCCGCGAACCGCUGUUAAUAUUUCGAUAUGACGUCACACUACAAUUGACGUCACUCAGCUGGUUCUUUGUGCAAAUAAUAUAACAAAGAAUAUUACGAGAAACAAAGGAACUGCCCGGAGAAAGAAUAGAAGAAGAAAAGAGACAAUUACGGGACGGAAAUUUCAGGGAACCAUAGCAUACUUGGACUAGGAUUUAUUCUUAGUCGAUGUAAAUAAUAACUUAUG